rnacentral:tRNA from 1 species
AAAAUCCGUCGACUUAAUAAAUCGUGAGGGUUCAAGUCCCUCUAUCCCCA